UACAGAGGUCCCAAGCGUUGUUCGGAUUCACUGGGCGUAAAGGGUGCGUAGGUGGCAAGGUAAGUUUGAUGUGAAAUCUCCGGGCUUAACCCGGAAACUGCAUUGAAUACUAUCUGGCUCGAGGUUUGGAGGGGGGACUGGAAUUCUCGGUGUAGCAGUGAAAUGCGCAGAUAUCAGGAGGAACACCGGUGGCGAAGGCGGGUCUCUGGGCAACAACUGACGCUGAGGAGCGAAAGCGUGGGGGAGCAAACAGG
rnacentral:rRNA from 1 species